rnacentral:rRNA from 1 species
ACGCUCGACACCUACGGGAGGCGCAGUGGGGAAUAUUGCACAAUGGGGGAAACCCUGAUGCAGCAACGCCGCGUGAAGGAAGACGGUUUUCGGAUUGUAAACUUCUGUUCUUAGUGAAGAUAGUGACGGUAGCUAAGGAGCAAGCCACGGCUAACUACGUGCAGCAGCCGCGGUAAUCUGAGCGGGCGUGGCGAAGGC